rnacentral:rRNA from 1 species
GACGAACGCUGGCGGCGUGCUUAACACAUGCAAGUCGAACGGAAAGGCCCUGCUUUUGUGGGGUGCUCGAGUGGCGAACGGGUGAGUAACACGUGAGUAACCUGCCCUUGACUUUGGGAUAACUUCAGGAAACUUGGGCUAAUACCGGAUAGGAGCUCCUGCUGCAUGGUGGGGGUUGGAAAGUUUCGGCGGUUGGGGAUGGACUCGCGGCUUAUCGGCUUGUUGGUUGGGUAGUGGCUUACCAAGGCUUUGACGGGUAGCCGACCUGAGAGGGUGACCGGCCACGUUGGGACUGAGAUACGGCACAGACUCCUACGGGAGGCAGCAGUGGGGAAUGUUACACAAUGGGCGGAAGCCUGAUGCAGCAACGCCGCGUGCGGGAUGACGGCCUUCGGGUUGUAAACCGCUUUCGCCUGUGACGAAGCGUGAGUGACGGUAAUGGGUAAAGAAGCACCGGCUAACUACGUG